AAAUAUCAAAAGAGGGUUAUUUUCUUUUGAGUGUUGAAGUGGUCUUUGGAGUAUUUUACUCGGACCUACAAAGUGUAAAAUUCCUUACUAUAGUGAUAUCAGUUGCUCCUCUCAGGGCCGUGGUUUUUUCCCUUAUUCAGAAGGGUUUUCCACAUAAAAAUCUUGGUGUCAUUAUUACUUUUUUAUUCUUGUUAAUUACCGUAUCUCGGUGCUACAUUAUUAUUCCGCUUUUAUUAUCGUAAAUAUUAUUUUGGUAGGGGAUUUAUUCCCAACAACUGGUAUCAAUUUAUUCCCAACAACUGGUAUCAGAGCACAUGUUCUGCUCGUUCACUAA
rnacentral:lncRNA from 1 species